GGAAAUUGCCCGGAAAUUGCCUCAACUGGUGACAAGGCAGUCCCACUUUCAUGACUUUAUAGAUACUCCAAAGUCCUUUAAGUUCAGUACACUCUGCAUAAUUCACAUUCAUCCUAGCUCAAUUUUCUAUAAACAACUGUUCUUUCCUUUGAAUCUGAAUACUAAUAUUCAUCAAACCAACUCAUUCACUCAUCAUGGCUCCCCUCACAGUCACAAAUCGAUUCAAGUAUGAUGUUUUUCUCAGCUUUCGAGGUGAGGAUACUCGUUAUGGUUUCACAAGCUAUCUCAAGAAAGCUCUAGAUGACAAAGGAGUUAGAACUUUCAUGGACGAUGAGGAGCUUCAAAAAGGCGAAGAAAUCACACCAUCACUUCUCAAAGCAAUUGAAGACUCCCAAAUCGCCAUCGUCGUCCUUUCUAAGAAUUAUGCUUCUUCCUCCUUUUGCUUACAAGAACUUUCUCAUAUCCUUCAUUCCAUCAAAGAUAAAGGACGUUCCGUUUUGCCGGUAUUUUAUAAGGUGGAUCCCUCUGUUAUACGGAAGUUAGAAAAGAGUUAUGGAGAAGCAAUGGAUAAACAUAAGGCCAACUCAAAUCUUGAUAAAUGGAAGGUGUGUCUUCACCAAGUAGCUGAUUUGUCUGGAUUUCAUUACAAGAAGAAACGGGAUAUGCCUGAGCAUAAGUUUAUUGGGGAGAUUGUUGAAAAAGUUUUAGGAAAUAUAGAACCUGUUGCAUUGCCUGUUGGUGAUUACAAAGUUGGAUUGGAGCACCAAAAGCAACAUGUGAUUUCCCUUUUGAAUGUUGGGUCGGAUGAUAAAGCAUGUAUGGUAGGGAUCUACGGGAUUGGUGGAAUAGGGAAAACAACUCUUGCUAUUUCUGUUUAUAAUUUGAUUGCCAAUGAAUUUGAGGUUUCAUGUUUUGUUGAAAAUGUUAGAGAAAGUCAUGAAAAACAUGGGUUACCAUAUCUCCAAAAGAUCAUUCUUUCUAAAGUAGUUGGGGAGAAAAAGGAGUUAACAAGUGUUCUAAAUGGGAUUUCAAAAUUGGAACAGAUGCUCAAGCAAAAGAAGAUACUUUUGAUUCUUGACGAUGUUAAUGAGUUAGAGCAAUUAGAAGCUCUGGCUGGAAAACACGAAUGGUUUAAUCGCUCAAGUCGAAUCAUCAUCACAACUCGGGACAAAAGGUUGCUAACAUGUCAUGGGAUUGAAUGUAAAUAUGAGGUGAAGGGGUUGAAUGACAUAGAUGCUGCUGAGUUGGUUAGAAGGAAAGCUUUUAAAGAUGAAUUUAGUCCAAGCUACAAAAAUGUUUCAACAGAAAAAAUGCAUGUUUUAGAACGUGUUGUAACAUAUGCCUCUGGUCAUCCACUCGCUUUGGAAGUCAUGGGUUCUCACUUUUCUAAUAAGACAAUAGAACAAUGUAAAGAUGCACUAGAUCGUUACGAAAAAAUUCCUCAUAAAAAGAUCCAAAUGACACUACAAGUGAGCUUUGAUGCUCUGGAGGACGAAGAGAAGUUUGUUUUUCUUGACAUUGCUUGUUGCUUCAAAGGAUGGAAAUUAACAAGGGUCGAAGAAAUACUUCAUGUUCAUCAUGGUGAUAACAUGAAAGAUCACAUUAAUGUGUUAGUGGAAAAAUCUCUCAUAAAAAUAGAUGGGUUUGGUUAUGUAGCAUUACAUGAUUUGCUAGAAGAUAUGGGAAAAGAAAUUGUUAGACAAGAGUCACCAAAUAAUCCGGGAGAACGCAGUAGGUUAUGGGACCCUAAAGAUAUACAAAAAGUUUUAGAAGAAAAUAAGGGAACAAGUAAAAUUGAAAUCAUACAUUUGGACAGUUGGGUUAAAGUGGAAUGGGAUGGAGAAGCUUUCAAGAAGAUGGAGAAUCUUAAAACACUAAUUUUUGGUAAUAAAGUUUAUUUAUGUGAAAAUCCCAAACAUCUUCCAAAUAGUCUAAGAGUGCUGGAAUGUAGCAAGCUCAAUCCAUUGGAGUGGGAGGGCUUUCUCACAAAGAAAUUCCAGAAUAUGAGAGUUUUAAAUCUCAAUAGAAGUCAAGAUUUAGCACAAAUACCUGAUAUAUCUGGUCUCCUAAAUUUAGAAGAAUUUUCAAUACAAUAUUGUAAGACACUAAUUGCAAUUGAUAAAUCGAUAGGUUUUUUAGGUAACCUUAAAAUUUUGAGAAUUGUAAAAUGCACCGAAAUCAGAAUUAUUCCACCUCUCAUGUUACCUUCUCUAGAAGAACUCUAUCUUUCAGAGUGUAGUAAUCUUGAGAAUUUUUCACCUGUGAUAGAUGACUUUGGUGAUAAGCUUAAAAUAAUGAGUGUUAGACAUUGCAUCAAGCUAAGGAGUAUUCCACCUCUCAAGUUGGAUUCACUAGAAACACUAAAACUUUCAUUUUGUCAUAGUCUUGAGAGUUUUCCACUUGUGGUGGAAGAGUAUCUUCGAAAACUUAAAACCAUGAUUGUUACAAGCUGUCGCAGUCUCAGAAGUUUUCCACCUCUCAAGUUGGAUUCACUAGAAACACUAAAACUUUCAUUUUGUCAUAGUCUUGAGAGUUUUCCACUUGUGGUGGAAGAGUAUCUUCGAAAACUUAAAACCAUGAUUGUUACAAGCUGUCGCAGUCUCAGGAGUUUUCCGCCUCUCAAGUUGGAUUCACUAGAAACACUAGAACUUUCAAAUUGUCAUAGUCUUGAGAGUUUUCCACUUGUGGCGGACGAGUAUCUUGGAAAACUUAAAACCAUGCUUGUUAAAAAUUGUCACAAUCUCAAGAGUAUUCCACCUCUCAAGUUGGAUUCACUAGAAACACUAGAACUUUCAGAUUGUCAUAGUCUUGAGAGUUUUCCACUUGUGGCGGACGAGUAUCUUGGAAAACUUAAAACCAUGCUUGUUAAAAAUUGUCACAAUCUCAAGAGUAUUCCACCUCUCAAGUUGGAUUCACUAGAAACACUAGAACUUUCAUGUUGUGAUACUCUUGAGAGUUUUCCACUUGUGGUGGACACAUUUCUUGCAAAACUUAAAACCCUGAAUGUUAAAUGUUGUCGCAAUCUCAGAAGUAUUCCACCUCUCAAGUUGGAUUCCCUGGAAACACUAAAACUUUCAGAUUGUCAUUGUCUUGAGAGUUUUCCACUUGUGGUGGACGAGUAUCUUGGAAAACUUAAAACCAUGCUUGUUACAAACUGUCGCAGUCUCAUGAGUAUUACACCUCUCAAGUUGGAUUCACUAGAAACACUAAAACUUUCAUUUUGUCAUAGUCUUGAGAGUUUUCCACUUGUGGUGGAAGAGUAUCUUCGAAAACUUAAAACCAUGAUUGUUACAAGCUGUCGCAGUCUCAGAAGUUUUCCACCUCUCAAGUUGGAUUCACUAGAAACACUAGAACUUUCAGAUUGUCAUAGUCUUGAGAGUUUUCCACUUGUGGUGGACGAGUAUCUUGGAAAACUUAAAACCAUGCUUGUUAAAAAUUGUCACAAUCUCAAAAGUAUUCCACCUCUCAAGUUGGAUUCACUAGAAACACUAGAACUUUCAGGUUGUGAUACUCUUGAGAGUUUUCCACUUGUGGUGGACAUAUUUCUUGCAAAGCUUAAAACCUUGAAAGUUAAGAGUUGUCGCAAUCUCAGAAUUAUACCACCUCUCAAGUUGGAUUCACUAGAAACACUAGAAUUUUCGAAUUGUCAUAGUCUUGAGAGUUUUCCACUUGUGGUGGACGAGUAUCUUGGAAAACUUAAAACCAUGCUUGUUAAAAAUUGUCACAGUCUCAAGAGUAUUCCACCUCUCAAGUUGGAUUCACUAGAAACACUAGAACUUUCAUGUUGUGAUACUCUUGAGAGUUUUCCACUUGUGGUGGACACAUUUCUUGCAAAACUUAAAACCCUGAAUGUUAAAUGUUGUCGCAAUCUCAGAAGUAUUCCACCUCUUAAGUUGGAUUCACUGGAAACACUAGAACUUUCAGAUUGUCAUAGUCUUGAGAGUUUUCCACUUGUGGUGGACGAGUAUCUUGGAAAACUUAAAACCAUGCUUGUUACAAACUGUUUCAGUCUCAGGAGUAUUCCACCUCUCAAGUUGGAUUCACUAGAAACACUUGAUCUUUCAUGUUGUUUUAGUCUUGAGAAUUUUCCACUUGUGGUUGACGGGUUUCUUGGAAAACUUAAAACCAUGCUUGUUAAAAAUUGUCACAAUCUCAGAAGUAUUCCACCUCUUAAGUUGGAUUUGCUACAAGAACUUGACCUUUCAAAUUGUUUUAUGCUCGAGAGUUUUUCAAGUGUGCGGGAUGAGUUGUUGGAUAAACUUAAAUUCGUGAAUAUUGAAUUCUGCAUCAUGCUUAGGAGUAUCCCACAGCUCAGGUUAACUUCUUUGAAAUAUUUCAAUCUUUCAUGUUGUUAUAGUCUUGAGAGUUUUCCAGAAAUAUUGGGAGAGAUGAGAAAUAUACCAGGACUCCUCUUGGAUGACACUCCCAGUAUAGAAUCAUCGUUUCAAUUUCACAAUCUUACUCAGCCUCCAACAUUUCACCCAUGUGACUGUCAGUAUGAUAACCGAUCAGAUGGAAAUCAUCCUAAGCUUACCAUCAUGAAUGAAGAAAAAGUGAAUUCAAUGCAAUCUUCAAAUGUAAAGUAUAUUUGUGUCAGGAAUGCUAAACUUUCAGAUGAAUUAUUGUCAAAAACUCUUAUGUUGUUUGCCAAUGUGAAAGAAUUACACCUAACAAACAAUCAACUCACAAUUAUUCCUAAAUCUAUUGAAAAAUGUCAAUUUUUAUGGAAACUUGUCUUGGAUGAUUGUAAGGAACUUCACGAAAUUAAAGGGAUUCCUCCACGCUUAAGAGUGUUAUCUGCAGUACACUGCAUAUCGUUGACUUCGUCGUGCAAAAGCAAAUUACUAAAUCAGGAAUUACAUGAGGCUAGAAACACCUGCUUUCGUUUGCCACGGGUUCCAAAGAUUCCAAAGUGGUUCGACCACAAAUGCGAGGCAGGAUUGUCAAUUUCUUUCUGGUUUCGUAACAAAUUUCCUGCCAUAGCUCUUUGUGUUGUUUCUCCAUUGACAUUUUGGUUUGGAUAUCAUGGUAUAAGAGUGAGCAUCAACGGCAAUAGUUUUAUCUAUAAAUCUAAUUCAGAGAUAUGUUGGAGACAACGGCCGGAUAUGUAUCAUUUGCAUCUUUUUCAUAUGCAAACGGAGAACUUCAAUGAUAAUAUGGACAAAGCACUUUUAGAAAAUAAGUGGAACCAUGCAGAGAUUUAUUUUGGUGUCUCUGCAUUCAUGUAUAGUGGAGUCCAUGUAUUGAAAGAAAAAAAUAGCAUGGAGGAUAUUCGAUUCACCAACCCAGCGAAUGAUGCUAACAUUGUGUUACACUCGGGAUGUUGAAGUACAUGACCUUUGCUGAUUUGUGAAGUGAUAUGAGUUGUGCACUUAGAUUGUUGCAUCUGCGUAAAAAGUCAACAACUUUUCAAAAAUAUUUGCACCAAGGUUGAAGUUCUUGCGAAGAGAAACUUCUCUUAUGCUCAUCUAGCGCAAAUAAAAUAAAUACUCCUUGCAAGUAUAGAAAUUGAAAAGGUGGUUGUUGUUGAUAAGAAGAGCUUGUGAAUGAAACCAGAUUUGAAGAUAACCUUGGUAUUUGACGUUGUAGAAGAUUACUCCAAACAGUCUGAUGAUUUGGCUCUUAUACGAUAUUUUAAUUACAGGCUGAUUAAUUUCUUUAAUCUGCAUCCUGAGGGGACUGAUAUUCCAGAGGCCACACUAUCAGAGCUCUUUAGCCAAAGACCUUAUAACUUGAUUUUCAAAGAUGGACCUGUAAAUUUGUCAACUGAACUUUCAUCAACUUCCAAUGAAAUCGAACUGUCACUGAACAACUUACAUCUGAGUCCAUCUUUUAAAAGACACUUUUCUCAGAAGAAUGUUGCUAACGAGACUGAGCAAGAAUCUGACUGGCUGGAUAACAAAGAAAGUGAAAGCACAUGGCAGAAAGAAUGUCCACCAUUGUCUGAUUGUUGACACACACUCCUGCACAGUCAGCACUUGAGAGAUUGUUGCUCGGUUCUGAUGUUAAGCUUCAGAAAAUGACUGCCCAAAAGUCUGGGUCGUGUUUUAAGCCUGCAAAAAGAGUGCUUGACUUUACACUCACAGAAGGCAGUGAUGAUUUGGAUAAUAGAGUAUACAUGUCUAUACCUAGCCGAGGAUAUUCCGAGAACUUCAAAUCUUUUUAUUCUGUUUCCCCACCUCUGGAGAGAGGAGCUUUAGAGAUAAUGAACAUAUUGGGUGAGAAACAAGUCGAAGAUUGAGAGUAAAACAUCGAGGAUGGGUAUACAAAAACGGUAGAUGAGAACCUUGGUCAUUCUUUUCAGAAAAUCAAUGUAGAUCAACAUUCUUUUAAUGCAUUGGAUAACAAUCCUUCAUCAUUGGUGGAACUGGUUAAUGUUAUUGACUCUAUAUUUGGCUCUGUCAAAAGAACUUCAAUCACAAAAGAGUAGCUCUUGCAAAAGAUAAUGAUGAACUGUUUAGAUUUUGUUGAGAUUAGAGAAGCUGAAGAACAGAUUGAGAUUUUGCAAAAGAUUGUGCCAGACUGGCCUUGCAAGAAGGUGGUAUCUUCCGGAGACACUAUGUACUGCAUCAAGAAUGCGUCAGAUUUGGACUCAGUUCGAUCAAGACUUCUCAGCCAUGUGACCAAAGAAGACGAGUGUUAAUUGCAUUGUUGCAAAUGAUUGUGUUGUAAUGUUGUGCAUAGCAAGGGAAUUGUUUUGUGUAAGAAAAGUAAACAGAGAGGGGGUGGGGAUUAGAACACCAUACACACAACCAUGUGUGAAAACUUCCUAUCCCUCGUUAUACGGUGGAAGGCUAUUAACUUGUUGGACAGGAGGUUAGUGGUGUUGUACGUAGGUGGUUAUCAAACCCAAUAUUGAAGUUGGUCGAAAACUGAGGGGAAACAUAUCUCUGGUAUGAUAGUUGGAUUGAUGAUGGUUCAUUGGCUUCAAGAUUUAGUUGGCUUUAUCAGUUUAAAUUUUUUGAAAUGCAAUGUGGAGGAGAUGGGGGAGUGGAUUGUGGGGCAGGGGGCCCGGUCAUGGAGGAGGGAGUUAUUUCGGUGAGGGAUGAACCAUCUCUCACUGAGUUAAACAUGGUUGUGAAUCAAAGGUGUUGGGGAUAGAUGGAUAUGGAAGCAUGACAAUGGAGGAACAUAUUCUGCGAGUCAUGCUUAUUCUGUAAUUAUAAAUGACGGCCUUCUGUGUAGAAAUCGUUUCUUUUCAAAAACUUGGAACAAGUUGGUCCCGUUGAAGGUGUAUUGUUUUGUUUGCGAUUAGUGUUGAAUAAAAUGCCGAUGAAGGAAAACCUCGUUGAUCUA